rnacentral:rRNA from 1 species
UACGUAGGGUGCGAGCGUUAAUCGGAAUUACUGGGCGUAAAGCGUGCGCAGGCGGUCUGUUGAGUCCGAUGUGAAAUCCCCGGGCUUAACCUGGGAACUGCAUUGGUGACUGGCAGGCUUUGAGUGUGGCAGAGGGAGGUAGAAUUCCACGUGUAGCAGUGAAAUGCGUAGAGAUGUGGAGGAAUACCGAUGGCGAAGGCAGCCUCCUGGGCCAACACUGACGCUCAUGCACGAAAGCGUGGGGAGCAAACAGG